UGGGGAAUAUUGCACAAUGGGCGCAAGCCUGAUGCAGCCAUGCCGCGCGUAUGAAGAAGGCCUUCGGGUUGUAAAGUACUUUCAGUCGGGAGGAAGGUGGUAAGGUUAAUAACCUUAUCAAUUGACGUUACCGACAGAAGAAGCACCGGCUAACUCCGUGCCAGCAGCCGCGGUAAUACGGAGGGUGCAAGCGUUAAUCGGAAUUACUGGGCGUAAAGCGCACGCAGGCGGUUGAUUGAGUCAGAUGUGAAAUCCCCGGGCUUAACCCGGGAAUUGCAUCUGAUACUGGUCAGCUAGGGUCUUGUAGAGGGGGGUAGAAUUCCAUGUGUAGCGAUGAAAUGCGUAGAGAUCUGGAGGAAUACCGGUGGCGAAGGCGGCCCCCUGGACGAAGACUGACGCUCAGGUGCGAAAGCGUGGGGAGCAAACAGG
rnacentral:rRNA from 1 species